AAACAGAAGGUAGGGUGCCAUUUUAGAGAAGAAAGUCCUAAAAAAUCGACUGACAGUGGUGAAAUCGAAAAAAAUCCAGCCCUAACCCCCUCCCUCUCUGGAGCCAUCUCUCUCUCGCUCGCUCGCUCGCCAGGAGUGGAAUAUAUAUAUAUAAGAUUGUUAUAAGAUGGCAACAAGAACAGACUCAGAUAUUGAUGAUGACUUUAGUGAGCUUUACAAGGAGUAUACUGGUCCUAUGGGAUCAACUACCACCAAUGUGCAGGAUAAGGCAAAGACAAACAAAAGGUCUCUGGCGGGGUCCGAUGAAGAAGAGGAACCUCCUCGUGACCCCAACGCUGUUCCUACUGAUUUCACGAGCCGAGAAGCAAAGGUUUGGGAGGCUAAGUCAAAAGCUACUGAGAGGAUUUGGAAGAAACGAAAAGAAGAGGAAUUGAUUUGCAAAAUAUGUGGAGAGUCGGGUCACUUUACUCAGGGAUGCCCUUCUACUCUUGGAGCAAAUCGCAAGUCUCAAGAUUUCUUUGAAAGGAUACCUGCUAGAGAAAAGCAUGUAAAAGCACUUUUUACAGAGAAAGUUUUACAAAAGAUCGAAAAAGAUAUUGGCUGCAAAAUCAAGAUGGACGAGAAAUUUAUUAUUGUCAGUGGCAAGGAUAGGUUAAUUUUGGCAAAAGGUGUGGAUGCUGUGCACAAAGUGAUUAAGGAAGAAAGUGAUCAGAGAGGCCCUUCUAGUUCCCAAGUUGCAAGAUCUAAGUCACCUGAACGAAGCCCUGUUGACUCACGGUUGCGACGCUCUGAUUCCCAAAGGUCUCAUUCUGGUCCUCAGAAUGCAUCACAGUUUCAACAGAGGUUUGGCAGGCAGGAGAAGGUUGUGGAAGACCGAAUUCGGGAUGAUAUGCCGAAAUUUUCAAGGGAUUCUCCACAAGCUUAUGGUAAUAAUGGAGCUAGAGGUCGUUCAAGCCAUUCAAAAUCUCCAGCACGUCCUCCUUACACGGGCAAGUCAUAUAAUUCAUACGAUGGUAAUAAUCAGAGCAUGGGUGCUUAUAGAACUGAUGGAUGGGAUAAUGAAAAGAGAGGGUCGGAUAUCCAAUCUGAUCGUCAGUUUGAUUACCCUGCCUUCCCCCAGACAUUAGAAGACUUAGAGUUGGAGUUUAAGAAGGAGGCAAUGGAACUUGGAAGAAUUCGUGACAAGGAAGAGGAUGAAGAAAAUUACACGCAUCGUGAGUCUAUUAGGGAGAUAAAAGAGAACUACAUGAAGCAACUGGCUAUUCUGAGGGGAACACAUGGAAAACAGUGGGAGGAGUUUCUCCAGCUUGAUGCUCAGAGGCGUCAACAACAGGCACAUCAGCAAUUGCCCACUUCUAGUUUUGGUGGUUAUAAACAGCAUGGUUAUUCUGACUAUGAUGGUACCUCGGCCAAUCCACAUUAUGCUUUGGCCAAUUUAGCCAUGGAUUCAAGAAGCCGAUAUCCACACCCUAUGGAAAAUUACUCUUCAAGGCCUCAUGAAAAAUUUGGUGAAUUUCAGCGUCAAAGGCGUGAAGAUUAUGGGAAACCUUACAAUCGAUACUAAAUCACCGUACUGGAAUUAAGGCUGGGUCAAGAUCUUGUUCAGGUGGGCGUAAUGCUUAGAGGAGGCUGAAAUAUAGGUGUGUGUGUGCACAGCUAACUGCACGAACAGAGGCGAAAGAGGCAUUCUAGGGGGGUGGGCAUUGCCUAAAUUAUCCUUAUAUUACUGCUAAAGAAGUUUAUGGACUAUCUGCUCCAGUCAUCAAUAUGUUCUACCCAAAUUUCACGUUGACUGAUUGGUCUUUUUGAUGUUGAUCGCCUAUUAUCAAUUAGGAACAGAGUCUAUUUCAUUUUCUUUCUAUUUUUAAAUUUGUUUUGGUCAUAGAAGCUUCAUCAUAUGUAUCAUCAAUGAAUUUUGUGAUGACCAGUUAACUAAUCGUGGAUUGAGGCACGCCUGUGGUCCUGUAAUUCAUGGCCUCCCUACUCAUCAGGGAUUACAUUUAGUAGUGUUUGUUGAGAGGCUUUCUGUGGUGUCUUAAAAUUUGGGCGUUUGGUGCCUCUUGUCCAACCUCAAAAGAAGAGGCUUUUGAGAAAGACCAUUUUACCUUUGGAUCAAGGAAUUCAUAAGCACAGAUUGCAAUUGACUCUGUUAUGGCCCAUUAAGCACAGGCAGAACUCAUUGUAAAAAUUUCAUUGUGCAUUCUCUGUCCACUUUAUUAAUAGGUCUUUAUUAAAAUGCACUUUAUAUCGUUGCUGAUAUAAAGCUUAAUUUUCACC